rnacentral:rRNA from 1 species
AACGAACGCUGGCGGCAUGCCUAACACAUGCAAGUCGAACGACACCUCCGUGUCUAGUUGCGCACGGGUGCGUCACGCGUGGGAACCUGCCCUUAUGCUCGGAAUAACUCCCCGACAGGGGUGCUAAUACCGGAUAAUUUCUUCUGACCAAAGAUUUGUCGCGCUUGGAUGGGCCCGCGUUGGUUUAGCUAGUUGGUAGUGUAAAAGCCUACCAAGGGUACGCUCGAUAGCUGGUCUGAGAGGAUGAUCAGCCACACUGAGAGUGAGACACGGCCCAGACUACUACGGGAGGCAGCAGUGGGGAAUAUAGGAAAACGGGGUAAAGGAUGAAGGAGUAAUGCCGGGUGAGUGAUGAAGGUGUUAGGGAAGUAAAGCUGGUUUAUCCGGGAUGAUAAUGACAGUACCGGGAGAAUAAGCACCGGCUAACUCCGUG